AUUGAACGCUGGCGGCAGGCCUAACACAUGCAAGUCGAACGAGUGGCGGACGGGUGAGUAAUGUCUGGGAAACUGCCCGAUGGAGGGGGAUAACUACUGGAACCGGUAGCUAAUACCGCAUACCAUCGGAUCUGCCCAGAUGGGAUGAGCUAGUAGGUGGGGUAACGGCUCACCUAGGCGACGAUCCCUAGCUGGUCUGAGAGGAUGACCAGCCACACUGGAACUGAGACACGGUCCAGACUCCUACGGGAGGCAGCAGUGGGGAAUAUUGCACAAUGGGCGAAAGCUUGAUGCAGCCAUGCCGCGUGUAUGAAGAAGGCCUGCGGGUUGUAAAGUACUUUCAGCGGGGAGGCGUUACUCGCAGAAGAAGCACCGGCUAACUCCGUGCCAGCCGCCGCGGUAAUAC
rnacentral:rRNA from 1 species